rnacentral:lncRNA from 1 species
GACUUUACAGAAUUAUAACCCAAUUAGUGUGAAAUCUCUCUCAAAUCACUUCCUCCCAUUCGCGAAGAACCCUAAGUAUCUGAACCAAGAUCCUCCAAAAAUCUCUCAAAUCCUAUCAUCCUGAAAUCCAUUUCUACAAAAUCUCACAUGAAGUCUCUGUAUUCUGAAAAUCCAUUCAAUUCAUUCGGGUAAUUUUUAUCAUGCACCGUGGUAUCCCAAAUCACGUCGUCUAAUUUUUGUGAGCUUCAAAUUCAUCUACCUCAAGAUAGAAAGGUAAUUUUUGUUUAUGUUUGUUGUAAAAUUGUUCCCAUGAUAUGGUAGGACACGAAUUGAUGAUUUUUGAAUGGAAAAUUGGUUUUGUUUAUAACUCAUUUUAUUUUUGGUUUGCAUCUUCGUCUUUCCGAUAAUGGUCAAGAACACUACUUUCUAGUCGUUAAUGGAGGAAAAACAUGUUUAUACCAUUCCUCUCCAUAAUCCAAUUAACACUCAUUUUGGGUAUUCUGCCAAUGUGAAUGUUGGGUAUUUUUUGUUUGGCUCUAAUAAAGAUAGCUCAUUGUUGAAUCCGGUGACUGGAAAAAAGGCCCUGUUGAUGAAACUACUUUGACCGUUGAAGGAUUUGAAUCCUGAUGGAGCUACUUUGCUUGUUGAUGAAAUGAAUAACACUAAAUUAAAAUUUGGAAGUAGGUGUGUUUUAGGUACUGAAUUUCAGAAAAAGCCUCCUAUUUAAACUCUCGAAUGAGAUGAAGGGAUUAAAGAUUGUUAAUUUUGCAGUGUUGCUGAGAAGAGUAAAAAAUUUGGCAGCAAUUCAUCUGUCUGUCACUGCCAAUAACAUAUUCAUGUUUGCAAUCAAUGGAAGGGGGGUAUCCGUUGCCUUUGUCCACCAUUUAUGGUAAUAGGAACUGGGACUGGUUGUGCUUGGAAACAGCUACAAUUUGCUUCAUUAAAAAUACUGGUAAUUUGUUCUAUUUUACUGUAUUAUUUUUUAUUGCAUUCCCAGUUCUAUCAUUAUUUGUUUAUUUAAUUAAUGUUUAAUGACACAUCUUUAUGCUUUUUGUCCUUCAUUUAUCUCAGUUAAGUAUGUUUAUAGAAUUAUUAGUAUGUUUAUAGAUAGUGUGUAGAAUAAUUUAAUUUAUAAUUUGUAAUUAGUUAAAAUUGUAUGUUUUAUUCGAAAGAAUCAUUCUAUUAACUUUUAGGGUCAGUUUGAUUGUAAAGAUGAAAUUUGGAUAGAAAGAAAAUGAAUUUCAGGAAAUUGAAUUGUCUAAAAAUUAUUUUACUGAGAAUUAUCAAUUAUUGUGUUUGAUUGAUAUAAUUUUUUAUGUGAAAAAUGUUAAAAUAAAAGUAUUUUUUGAUGUUCGUUUGACUUUAUUUUACAUAAAAAUUGUCAAUUAAAGGGAUAAAAUUUACUGGUAUUGGGGAUAGAAUUUGUUCCUCUUGCCCAAAGAAAAAAAAAAAGGAGCCAAAAAAAUCAUCUAUCUUUUGGUGUUCAUUUGACUUUGUUUUAUAUGGAAAUUAUCAAUUAAAGAAAAAUAUUUUUUUACAAUUAAUGAUAGAAUUUGUUUUCAAUGCCAAAAAAAUAAAAAAUAAAAAUUGGCAACUUACCUAGAAAACCAAUUCCCACCAUUCCUUGAAAACUAAGAAAAGUCCACUUUUCAAAAAAACCAAGCAAAUGAAUUACAUGGAAAAUAUUUGCUAUCAAACACUAUCAAAAGGUGGAAAAUAGACAAAAUUUUCCAUUUUCCAUGGAAAAGAUGCCCAAUCAAACAGGGCCUUAAUAUAUUUUUCCAACAGAAAUUGUGUAGUUUUAGUUCGAAAAUUUUUAAUAUAGUUUCAGUAUAUUAUUUUCAUAUUACCAAUAGAAUUUUAUCAUUAAAAUUUCUUAAUUUAUUUUUUAGGAUUUUGUUUUUUUUAUAAAUUAAAAAUUUAAAAUAAUCUUUAAUUAAUAGGUAGGAUUGAUUGAAAUUAAAAGUAUGUGAAUUUUUAUUUUUAUUUUUGUUCUUUUUUACAACAAGCAAUAAAUAUAGCAAAUCCUUGUUGCAAAACACACUUUCUCGCAACAUUUAAUGAUUGUUGCAAAAUGUUGUAUCGUAAGAAUUUCAACAAUAUGUACUGAGCAUUGCUAUAGAACAAAAUUUUAAACAGUUCAAUGAACAUUGCAAAAAAAAAAAAAAAAGGAAGAUUAAAACUUUUGCAACAUAAUAAAAAAAAAUUAAAACUUUUGCAACACUCAAAGAACGUUACAAAAAGCUAUAUAUCAAGAGUUUCAAAAACGUUUAUUGAACGUUACUAUAGAACUUUAUUUUUACAACAUUCAUUAAACAUUGCGAAAAAUAAAACUUCUUACAACAUUCAAGAAACGUUGAAAAUGGUAAUAUUGACAACAUGCAAUUAAAAAAAAUAUAUUGCCAAUGCUUAAUUAAAUUAAUCAAUAGCAACAUUUUUCACUUUUUAAAAUGUUGCAAUAAACCAUUUAGCAGCAUACAAUUCACGAAUAUUGCCUUUUGAAUAUUGCAAAAGCUAUUUUAAUUGUAGUGAAAAUUCGUCAUAUGUAUAUAAAAAUUCAUAUGUCAUUAAAUUAAUUUCAGUACACGUGAUAAAUGAUCAUACCUAAAAAAAUUAUUACCUUCACUAAACUUUGAAAAAUUAAGCUUUCGGACCGAUAACGUAUUAUGAAAAGAGAUAGAAAAAGCAGGGAAAAUAAAAGUCAAUAGACUUGUAUGUAUUAUAAUAAGAACUAGAGCCAUGUAUUCAUAAAGAAGGAUUAUGGAUACAAUGAUAAUAAUUUCUAAAUUUAUAGGGGUACAAUUGUCAUUCACAAAUAAAACUUACCAUUUACAACAAAAUGGUCUUUUUUUUUUUUCUUCAAUUUGCUCCUAAAAAGUUUAUUGAUAGCAACAAGAUAAGUCGGACGUUCUCUUUUUUGAAUUUUAAGAGGCGCGUAGGACAUUUUGAUCUUCAUUUUUCGUCCCAUUCAUUUAUGUAUUUACUUAUUUAUAUAUUAUUAUGCGUUUAAAUUUAAAUUUUAUUCAAAAAAAAUUUUAAAAAAAAUAUUAUGAAUCAUGGAUGGGUUUGUGAUAGCGAUCAUGUUUCCUAACCAAAUGCCUAAUAAGGAUUAUAGAAUUCCCGACCUUCAAUCCACGUGGCGCGUUCCGUCCCACAUUGUCCUUCCUUGAAUAGUAAACGAGGCGGGAUGCAAAACCUAUAGUCCCUAGUUUCGAAUUUUUAGUACUAGCUCUGAAUCAUUUUUCAUUAUUAUAUUUCAUUUUAUUGUUAUGUUCUUCAUUUAAAUCAUAUUUAAGAAAAUUUAAUUAAAUAAAUAAAAUGAUGAAUGAUGUUUUUUAUGUCUCAACCUACCCUACAUUCUGAAAAAUCAGAACGAAACAAGAAUGAUAUGAUGGUUACUAUCCAUUGUCAUCCUUAAAUUCAAAUUUCUUGUUGGGCGAAGUAACUUGGGGCCAGAGGCAGUCCUGAGGGCGCACGAGUUGAGCGAUCGCACAGGGCCUCAAAUUUGUAAGGGCAUCAAAAAAAUUUUUGUUAUAAUUGUAUAUUUAUUUAUAAUUAAAUAUUUAAAAUAUAAAAUUUUUAUUAUUAUGCAAAAGAUAUUAAAAUUAAGAAUAAUGUGACUAACUAGUUAUAAUUUUCUUGAAUAUAAUAUUCUUAAAUAGCGUUCCUACCUUAAAUAAUGUGAGGAAAAAGUAAAAAGUCAAAAAGAGAUUAGCCCGACUAGAGAACUGAGAGAAGAGAGAAAAAUUGAGCAACUACAUUUUCCAAAUCGUCUUUUUGGAGAGAAGAAUUAAAGAAAACAACAAUCUUUUCCAAUUGCCCCAAAGAUAAUUGAGGUAGAGAAAAUAGAAACCAACCGUUUUUUUAUUUGUUUAUUUUUUUUUUUGAAGAAAUCAUCUUUUUUUCCAAUCAUCUUUAAUCUGGCUCCAAAAGAUUCUCUUUUUUCUUUAAGCAACGACUGACGAUUCAUAUUUUUCACUGAACUCUCACUGAAAAUUUGAAUUACAUGUUAUCUUUUCUUUAUUAUCUUUUCGUUAAUCUUAUUCUAUGAUUUUACUGAUUUGAAUUCUUUUUGCAAGAACUUGUUAAAAUUUGAAUUCAGGAUUGAGGAUUGAGAAAGCACGACAUAAUUUUCCUCCGGAGAAGUUGAACACUUACAAGUAAGUUUUUGUUUCCUUAACAUAUUUUUCUUCAAUAAUUUCUUUGAAUAUUCAAGAAAAUAUAAAUUCGUUUUUAAUAUUUUUUUCUCAACGUUCUGAAGAUGGAUUCAUCGUUUAUAAUUUAUAAUUACUAAUUUAAUAAGUGAAAUCAAUUAACUGUGAAGAGAUUUACUGUUAAGUGAAAUCAAUUAAUUGUGAAAAUGGGUUCACUGUUCAUAAUUUAUAAUUACUAAUUUGAUAAGUGAAAUCUACUAAUGAAAUUGAUUCAUUGAAUUUUUACUACCCUCUAACUCUCUUUUCAUUAAUUUGUGAUACACGGGUUUUCGAAGAAUCAAGAUUGAUUUAAUUCCUGUUACUGUUGUAUCUGCUGAAAGAAAAUUUUCAAAAUUGAAGUUAUUAAAAUCUUAUUUAUGAUCAACCAUUUUACAAGAACGAUUGAAUGGAUUCGUUUUGAUAUCUAUUGAGCAAGACUUUCUAAAAAAUAUUGAUUACGAAAGUUUAAUUAGUGAAGUUGCUUUUAAAAAUGCGAGAAAAAAUAUUUUUACAUACUUUGUAUCAUUUCAAGCUUUACACUUGACUUGAUUUAUAUAUUUGUUUCAAGGUUUGCUUAUAUGGAAUUGCACGAAGAGGUUAGUGGUUUGGAUGGUUCUUUGUUGAUGACACAUGAAUUUUGAUGAAGUUCGAGAGAU